UACGGGGGGGGCAAGCGUUGUUCGGAAUUACUGGGCGUAAAGGGCUCGUAGGUGGCCAACUAAGUCAGACGUGAAAUCCCUCGGCUUAACCGGGGAACUGCGUCUGAUACUGGAUGGCUUGAGUUUGGGAGAGGGAUGCGGAAUUCCAGGUGUAGCGGUGAAAUGCGUAGAUAUCUGGAGGAACACCGGUGGCGAAGGUGGCAUCCUGGACCGGUAUUGACGCUGAGGCGCGAAAGCCAGGGGAGCAAACGGG
rnacentral:rRNA from 1 species